GACAGAGGGUGCUAGCGUUGUUCGGAAUUACUGGGCGUAAAGGGCGCGUAGGCGGUCCGCUAAGUUCGGCGUGAAAUCCCCUGGCUCAACUGGGGAACUGCGCUGGAUACUGGUGGACUCGAGUACCGGAGAGGAGAGUGGAAUUCCUGGUGUAGCGGUGGAAUGCGCAGAUAUCAGGAGGAACACCAAUGGCGAAGGCAGCUCGCUGGGACGGUACUGACGCUGAGGCGCGAAAGCGUGGGGAGCAAACAGG
rnacentral:rRNA from 1 species